CAGUCCAUGCAGUCGAAAAGAGUUGGACACAACUGAAGCAACUAAGCACAGCACAGCACAGGUAAAAUAAAAACCAAGGAUUCUGGAAUAAGAACAGAGUUCAAGGAAUCAAGGACUCAGACUCCCAUUCUUUCCUGUUCCUCUCUACACCAUGAGGGGACAUCAACUGCCUAAUCCAGUCUUGAUUCUGCUUUUCUUGCUCCUUCCCAGAGAUGCUUCAGCUACCUCCAAACCGCAGUACCUGGUGCUGGUCCCAUCACAGCUGUAUGCUGGUGUUCCUGAGAAGGUCUGUGUCCUGCUGAAUCACCUGAAUGAGACAGUGGCAUUGACAGUAACUUUGGAAUAUGAGACGCAGGGCAGGAAUCUCCUCACAGACCUGGAGGCGAAAAACUCCUUCUACUGCAGCUCCUUCACGAUUCCGGAUUCUUUUCCCUUCGCAUUCAUAACCGUGCAGGUGCAAGGACCAACCCAGAACUUCAUAAAGAAGAAGCAGAUAUACAUUACAAAAGCAGAAAGCCUAGUCUUUGUCCAUACAGACAAACCCAUCUACAAGCCAGGACAAACAGUGCAAUUCCGCAUUGUCUCUGUGGAUGUCAACUUUCACCCUUUGAAUGAAACGUUCCUGGUGGUUUAUAUUGAGAACCCCAAAAGGAACCGGAUUUUCCAAUGGCCCAGUUUCAAAUUGCAAGGGGGACUCAGUCAGCUCUCUUUCCCACUCUCAGUGGAGCCUGCACUGGGUCCCUACAAGGUGGUACUGCUGAAGGAGCCUGGGAAAAGAAUAGAGCACUCUUUUGAAGUUGAUGAAUACGUUUUGCCCAAAUUUGAGGUCCAAGUGAAAAUGCCCAAGAAGAUUAGUUUCCUAGAGGAUGAAUUUGAGGUUUCUGUCUGCAGCCUAUACACAUAUGGAAAGCCUGUCCGUGGCCUAGUGACGAUUAAUGUAUGCAGAAAAUAUUUACCCUACAGUUCUCCCUGCUAUGGAAAAUAUCCAAAUAGCAUCUGUGAAGAAUUCAGUCAACAGGCAGAUGAUGAAGGUUGUUUCACACAACUGGUAAAUGCUAAAUCACUUCAGCUGAAACAAAAAGGAUAUGAGAGUACAUUACAAGUGGAAGCCAAGGUCAGAGAGGAGGGAACAGGGUUGGAAUUAACCGGACAUGGAUCAAGUGAAAUCACAAACACCUUAAGCAAACUGAAAUUUACGAAAGUGAAUUCACAUUACAGACGUGGGCUUCCUUUCUUUGGGCAGGUUCUUCUAGUCAAUGAGAAGGAUCAGCCAAUCCCCAAUGAGACUGUAGUGGUCAAUGUGGAUAUGUUUCAGUAUAGUGCCAGAUUUACUACAAAUGAGCACGGUUUGGUGAACUUUUCCAUUGAUACCAGUAACUUCACAUCUUCUUUCAUUUCAGUUGGGGUCAUUUACAAACAGAAUAGCCACUGUUUUGAUAGCAGGUGGCUUGAUGAAUCUCACAUACCAGCAAUGCACACUGCAAGUCAUAUUUUCUCCCCAAGCAAGAGUUACAUUCAGCUUGAACCUGUGGCUGAUACUGUGAUCUGUGGGCAAACACAGGAGAUUCGGGUGUACUACAUCCUGAAUGGACAGAUUCUGACAGAUGAAAGGGAAUUAACCUUUUAUUAUUUGAUCAAAGCAAGAGGAAGCAUCGCUCAAUCAGGAACUCAUGUGUUAUCCAUUAAACAAGGAGAGUUAAAAGGGGUAUUUUCCUUCUCCUUCCGAGUGGAAUCGGACAUUGCUCCUAUAGCCCGGUUACUUGUUUAUACCAUUUUACCUAAUGGAGAAGUUAUCGCAGAUACUGAGGAGCUCGACAUUGAAAACUGUUUUGCCAAUAAGGUAAAUCUGAGCUUCUCCUCAGCCCAAGGCCUUCCAGCCUCAAACACCAGCCUGAAGAUCACAGCCGCUCCUUACUCUCUCUGUGGCCUCCGAGCUGUGGACAAGAGUGUCCUACUAAUGAAGCCUGAAGCUGAGUUCUCACCUCAGUCAGUGUAUAAUUUGCUAUCAGUAAAGAGAAUCUUUAGCAUGGGAUAUAGAGGCCCCAUGAAUGAAGAUGGGGAAAAAUGCAUCAACGCGGAAGACAUAACUCACAAUGGAAUCAUUUACAUUCCAAAGCAGGUCAUCAGUGAUGACGAUGCUUACAGUAUCUUUGAGUCUGUAGGAUUAAGUAUUUUUACCAACUCAAAAAUCCACAAGCCACAUUUUUGUCAGCCGCUUCCAUAUCCAGGAAUGUCUAUGAACUAUGGAGCUCCAGGUCUAGCAGGUUCACAAGGCCUACCAGUCCCCAUACAUGGAAUGGCUGCUCCUCCAGCAGGUAUAGAUGCAAGGGGAGUUUAUCCAUUGAGUGCGAGCGAAGACUCUUCAGCCAUGAAAGUGAAAGAAACAAUCCGGAAGUAUUUUCCUGAGACCUGGAUCUGGGAGUUGAUGCCACUCGAUAUGUGGGGCAAACAUGAGUUGGCAAUCAAGGUCCCUGACACCAUCACGGAGUGGAAGGCCAGUGCCCUCUGCUUGUCUGGAACAGCAGGGCUUGGACUCUCACCCACCGUCUCUCUCACAGCCUUCCAGCCCUUCUUCCUGGAACUCACUCUUCCCUAUUCUGUGGUUCGAGGAGAAGCCUUCACACUCAAAGCCACUGUGUUCAACUAUCUGUCUCAUUGCAUUCGGGUGAGCAUACAGCUGGAGGCCUCUUCUGCCUUCUUGGCCAUCCCAGUAGAAAAGAAUGAAGAAUCUCACUGUGUCUGUGGAAACAAGCAGAGAACCAUGUCCUGGGCUGUGACUCCAAAGUCACUGGGAGAGGUGAAUUUCACAGCUACUGCAGAAGCCUUGCGGUCUCAGGAACUAUGUGGCAAUAAGGUGCCUCACUUCCCAGAAGUUGGACAGAAGGACACCGUUAUCAAGCCUUUACUAGUUGAGCCUGAAGGAAUAGAAAGAGAAGAAACUUUCAACACACUUCUCUGUGCAUCAGAAACUGGAGGAUUUGAAAAGUUGUCAUUAAAACUUCCUUCAAAUGUGGUUGAAGGUUCUGCCAGGGCGACAUAUUCAGUUUUGGGUGAUAUACUAGGCUCUGCAAUGCAAAAUCUUCAGAAUCUUCUCCGGAUGCCCUAUGGUUGUGGAGAACAGAAUAUGGUCCUUUUCACCCCUAACAUCUAUGUUCUGAACUAUCUAAAUGAGACAGGACAGCUGACUGAGAAGAUCAAGUCCAAAGCCAUCAGCUACCUCAUCAGUGGUUACCAAAGACAGUUGAACUAUAAGCACAGUGAUGGUUCUUACAGCACCUUUGGGGAUCGUGAUGGUAGAAGUCAGGGAAACACUUGGCUUACUGCAUUUGUGCUCAAGUCUUUUUCUCAAGCCCAAUCACACAUCUUUGUGGAGGACUCGCACAUCACAGACUCCCUUACCUGGCUCUCACGGAAGCAGAAGGAAAAUGGUUGUUUCCAGCGCUCUGGAUCAUUGCUAAACAAUGCUAUUAAGGGUGGGGUCGAUGAUGAGGUAACGCUCUCUGCCUAUAUCACCAUCGCUCUACUGGAGAUGCCGCUGCUUGUCACCCACUCAGUUGUCCGCAAUGCUCUCUUCUGCCUGGAAAGGGCCUGGCAAUCUGCCUCAGAGGCCCAAGGAAGUUUUGUCUAUACCAAGGCAUUACUGGCCUAUGCCUUCGCACUAGCAGGAGACCAAGCCAAACGAAAGGAACUGCUUGAGUCACUAGACAAAGAGGCUGUAAAAGAAGAGGACUCAAUCCACUGGCAACGUCCUAGAAAGCCUCAAGAAGUUAAUGAACUCUACAGUCCACACCGGGCUCCUUCUGUUGAUGUGGAAAUGACAUCUUACUGCCUCCUUGCCCAUCUUACUGCCCAGCCUGCCCCAUCUUCAGAAGAUCUGUCUGUGGCUACACAGAUUGUAAAAUGGCUCACCAAGCAACAGAACCCCAAUGGGGGCUUCUGCUCCACUCAGGACACAGUGGUGGCUCUCCAGGCACUCUCCAAAUAUGGAGCAGCAACUUUCGUUAAAGGGGAGAAAGCAGCUACUGUCACCGUCAAGUCUGCGGGGACCUUCUCUGAAGAAUUCCAAGUAGAUGAAGCCAAACGUCUACUGCUGCAGGAGGUGGCUUUGCCAGAGAUCCCGGGGAAGUACAGCACAGCCGUGACAGGGUCGGGAUGUGUGUACGUCCAGACAUCCUUGAGAUAUAAUAUCCUGCCCAAGAAAGAAGGAAGAGCUCCCUUUUCUCUGAAAGUUGAAACUCUCCCCAAGAACUGUGAUGGAGUCAGCACUCACAGGAAAGUCCAGAUUCACAUCAAUAUUAGUUACACUGGGGAACGACCCAGCUCCAACAUGGUCAUUGUUGAUGUGAAGAUGGUAUCAGGCUUCAUACCUGUGAAAUCAUCGGUGAGAAAGCUCCAGGAAAUGGCUCAGAUUCAGAGGACUGAAGUGAGCACCAACCAUGUCCUGAUUUACUUUGAAGAGCUGACCCAUCAUAUCCUGAGUUUCUUCUUCUCAGUGGAACAAGACAUCACAGUAAAGAAUUUAAAACCAGCUACUGUAAAGGCAUAUGAUUACUAUGAGACAGAGGAAUUCACCAUUGAAGAGUACAGUGUUCCCUGCAGUGCUGGUAAAGCAUAGACAGUAAAAUCUGAUGCCAAUGAAAAGAAAAUAAAUAAACAUUUGUUGUUUGAGUAAAGCUGCUUCUUGAGCAUUCCCUUACCAUAUUAUAAAACUGCUUGGUGAAUCAUUUAUGAAUUGAACUAUCUCAGAUGUAUUAUAGACUUUCACAGUAGGAAAAAAUAAUCUGAACGUGGAAAUGAUUGAAGAUGGUAACUUGUGGACCUCAUCAGAUGAACUGCUCCAGAAACAAAGAACAAAGACUUAUCAGAAGAGAGGCCAGUGGGAGAAAGAAGGGACAGGAAUUGGAAGUAUGCUAAAUUUGCAUGUUGAAUAAAUUUAUGACAUUUAUAA